rnacentral:rRNA from 1 species
AGCGAACGCUGGCGGCAGGCCUAACACAUGCAAGUCGAACGGAUCCUUCGGGAUUAGUGGCGGACGGGUGAGUAACACGUGGGAACGUGCCCUUUGGUUCGGAACAACUCAGGGAAACUUGAGCUAAUACCGGAUGUGCCCUUCGGGGGAAAGAUUUAUCGCCAUUGGAGCGGCCCGCGUCUGAUUAGCUAGUUGGUGAGGUAAAGGCUCACCAAGGCCACGAUCAGUAGCUGGUCUGAGAGGAUGAUCAGCCACAUUGGGACUGAGACACGGCCCAAACUCCUACGGGAGGCAGCAGUGGGGAAUCUUGCGCAAUGGGCGAAAGCCUGACGCAGCCAUGCCGCGUGAAUGAUGAAGGUCUUAGGAUUGUAAAAUUCUUUCACCGGGGACGAUAAUGACGGUACCCGGAGAAGAAGCCCCGGCUAACUUCGUGCCAGCCGCCGCCGUAAAAC